rnacentral:rRNA from 1 species
AUUGAAUGCUAGCGGGAUGCCUUACACAUGCAAGUCGAACGGUGGGGCGACCGGGUGCGUAAGGUCUCGGAACGUGCCCAGUAGCGGGGGAUAACUACGCGAAAGCGUAGCUAAUACCGCAUACUAUUAGAGCGGCCGAAAGCGUGUUAGCUCGUUGGGGGGGUAACGUCGCAGCAAGGCGACGAUCCGUAGCUGGUUUGAGUGGAGGACCAGCCACCCUGGGACUGAGAAACGGCCCAGACGCCUACGGGAGGCAGGAGGGGGGAAUGUUGGACAAGGGAGUAAACCCUGAUCCAGCCAUCCCGCGUGUGCGAUGAAGGCAUUGGGGUUGUAAAGCAAUUUUGGCAGGAAAGCGGUACCUGCAGAAUAAGCACCGGCUAACUACGUGCCAGCAGCCGCGGUAAUAC